rnacentral:lncRNA from 1 species
UUUGACUAAAGUUCGAUAUUUAUUUUUCGAAUUCUCGGUAUAUUACAUUCUCCACCCCUUAAAAUAAUUUCGUCCGCGAAAUUAUGCAUAUCUUAACUCGUUGACUCAAAUAAAUGCGCAUACUCNCGAAUUCUCGGUAUAUUACAUUCUCCACCCCUUAAAAUAAUUUCGUCCGCGAAAUUAUGCAUAUCUUAACUCGUUGACUCAAAUAAAUGCGCAUACUCUCUCC